UAACCUUCGGGAGGACGCUUACCACUUUGUGGUUCAUGACUGGGGUGAAGUCGUAACAAGGUAGCGCUAGGGGAACCUGGCGCUGGAUCACCUCCUUAUACGAUGAU
rnacentral:rRNA from 1 species